AUGAAUACGACCAACUGGAAACUAAACUCAGAUUCAAAGAAACAAAUCAAGUUAGCAAAGUAUUAAUAGCAGAAAGCAACAAUCCAAAUAAAAAUCAACUUAUUUAGAAAUGUGAUGAAGAAGACUAGUUGAUGGAAUUAAUAACAUCUAGAACAUGUCCUUUAGAGCAAUAACAUAGCUAAUAUAAAUUUGAAUCCGAAAGCUGAUCAUUACAGGCAAACAAAAUUAUGUGCCUCUCAGCCUCUGAAAUGAGUAUUGUAGUGGUCAUUGGUCAAUAGCCAAAUGUUUCUCUUUUAUUAUUUGAAAUGGAAUCUGAAAGUGUUGCACCAGCAAAGAAAAACAUUCCAGCCCUCUUUGGUAAAACACAGCAUACAUUCACAGAAUGCUGAACACCUAUUUGUCACCAGCAAAUGCAAAACUGAAGUCCUUUGUUUGAACUUUCGCAUUAUGUAGCAUAGCAAUUUGCCAAUUUAUGCAGAAAACUAUGCUAAUUCUUAAUAUAUAACCAGCAGAAGUGUUUUAAAGGCCAAAACUACAGCAAAGUGUAAGAGGUGACUUAUAGCUUAAGCACAAUCUAUAAUAUCAAAAGAAAAA